UGGGGAAUUUUGGACAAUGGGGGAAACCCUGAUCCAGCCAUCCCGCGUGUGCGAUGAAGGCCUUCGGGUUGUAAAGCACUUUUGGCAGGAAAGAAACGUCGCGGGUUAAUACCCCGCGAAACUGACGGUACCUGCAGAAUAAGCACCGGCUAACUACGUGCCAGCAGCCGCGGUAAUACGUAGGGUGCAAGCGUUAAUCGGAAUUACUGGGCGUAAAGCGUGCGCAGGCGGUUCGGAAAGAAAGAUGUGAAAUCCCAGAGCUUAACUUUGGAACUGCAUUUUUAACUACCGGGCUAGAGUGUGUCAGAGGGAGGUGGAAUUCCGCGUGUAGCAGUGAAAUGCGUAGAUAUGCGGAGGAACACCGAUGGCGAAGGCAGCCUCCUGGGAUAACACUGACGCUCAUGCACGAAAGCGUGGGGAGCAAACAGGAUUAGAUACCCUGGUAGUCCACGCCCUAAACGAUGUCAACUAGCUGUUGGGGGCCUUCGGGCCUUGGUAGCGCAGCUAACGCGUGAAGUUGACCGCCUGGGGGAGUACGGUC
rnacentral:rRNA from 1 species